rnacentral:rRNA from 1 species
CCUACGGGAGGCAGCAGUGGGGAAUAUUGGGCAAUGGGCGAAAGCCUGACCCAGCGAUGCCGCGUGAGGGAUGAAGGCCUUCGGGUUGUAAACCUCUGUCAGGAGGGACGAUGGGACUUUUGUCUUGACGGUACCUCCAGAGGAAGCCCCGGCUAACUCCGUGCCAGCAGCCGCGGUAAUACGGAGGGGGCAAGCGUUGCUCGGAAUUACUGGGCGUAAAGGGUCCGCAGGCUGUCAGGCAAGUUGGUUGUGAAAGCUCAAGGCUCAACCUUGGAAUUGCAUCCAAAACUGCCUGACUAGAGUCCAAGAGAGGUUGGCGGAAUUCCCGGUGUAGCGGUGAAAUGCAUAGAUAUCGGGAGGAACACCAGAGGCGAAGGCGGCCAACUGGCUUGGUACUGACGCUCAGGGACGAAAGCGUGGGUAGCAAACCGGAUUAGAUACCCGGGUAGUCCACGCCCUAAACGAUGGACGCUAGGUAGGGGGAAUUUAUUUCUNCCCUGCCGUAGUUAACGCAUUAAGCAUNCCCGCCUGGGGAGUACGGUCGCAAGGCUGAAACUCAAAUGAAUUGACGG